GAUGAAGAACGUAGCGAAAUGCGAUAAGUAAUGUGAAUUGCAGAAUUCAGUGAAUCAUCGAAUCUUUGAACGCACAUUGCGCCCGCCAGUAUUCUGGCGGGCAUGCCUGUCUGAGCGUCAUUUCAACCCUCAUGCCCCUAGGGCGUGGUGUUGGGGAUCGGCCAAAGCCCGCGAGGGACGGCCGGCCCCUAAAUCUAGUGGCGGACCCGUCGUGGCCUCCUCUGCGAAGUAGUGAUAUUCCGCAUCGGAGAGCGAUGAGCCCUUGCCGUUAAACCCCCAACUUUCCAAGGUUGACCUCAGAUCAGGUAGGAAUACCCGCUGAACUUAAGCAUAUCAAUAAGCGGAGGA
rnacentral:misc_RNA from 1 species